rnacentral:lncRNA from 1 species
GUCAUUCACGCGCGCCGCAGCGGGGCACCGGAAGUUAUGGAGAGAAAAUUGUGAUAUCAAUAGCAUUGUAACUCAGAAUGGUGAAGUAUGCUGGAAAACAAUCACAGACUGUGUGAGCUACACAGAGUCAGAGCAGGGUCUGGAUUACUGGGGAAGCGUGAGGCUGCUGGGCCCUGUGUGUGAGGCUGUCCAUUCACAUUUCUUAUCUCUGACCAAGGGGCAAUUUGAAAUUCGAUAUGCACCGUGGUUCCAGUGGACAAGUUUUCCAGAGUUAUUUCCUGAAAUAUUUGAUGCCUUGGAAAGUCUACAAUCUCCUGCUAUUUCUCUUAGCUUAAUGAAACUGACAUCGUGUCUAGAACGAGCCUUGGGUGAUGUAUUUUUACUGAUUGGGAAGGAAUGCCCCUUUCUUUUAAGAGAUCUGCUUUCAUCUGAGGAGCUUGCUCAAGUCUUCAGUCAGUCUGUGAUGAAUGUGCUAAAAGUCUUCGUUGGCUCUCCGUGUGGUCUCAACCUGCGUAACGUCUUAUGGCAUGGGUUUGCGUCACCUGAAGAAAUUCCU